AUUGAACGCUGGCGGCAUGCCUUACACAUGCAAGUCGAACGGCAGCACGGGCUUCGGUCUGGUGGCGAGUGGCGAACGGGUGAGUAAAGUAUCGGAACGUACCUUUCAGUGGGGGAUAACGUAGCGAAAGUUACGCUAAUACCGCAUAUUCUGUGAGCAGGAAAGCAGGGGAUCGCAAGACCUUGCGCUGAUUGAGCGGCCGAUAUCAGAUUAGCUAGUUGGUGGGGUAAAGGCCUACCAAGGCGACGAUCUGUAGCGGGUCUGAGAGGAUGAUCCGCCACACUGGAACUGAGACACGGUCCAGACUCCUACGGGAGGCAGCAGUGGGGAAUUUUGGACAAUGGGGGCAACCCUGAUCCAGCCAUGCCGCGUGAGUGAAGAAGGCCUUCGGGUUGUAAAGCUCUUUCGGCCGGGAAGAAAUCGCAUGGGCUAAUACCCUGUGUGGAUGACGGUACCGGAAUAAGAAGCACCGGCUAACUACGUGCCAGCAGCCGCCGUAACAC
rnacentral:rRNA from 1 species